AAGAGCUCAUCAUUGGAAUCUGGCGGUGUUGCACCGUCCGAGUUGUAGAUGAGGAGUGGUUCGUCUGGACUGCAUGGCGUCCAAGUACAAUAGGCCGUCAGUGGGACAUCAUAGAGGGUGACAAUCCCGUCCUUGAUGCCAAUGUGCAAGUCCAUUACGAUGGCCAUCUCAGAGAGUCGAGCAGUUUGGGAUUUGCUGCUUAAACAUGGGAGGUAGAUUCCUUCUAAAGCUAAAUACAGGCAAGAGACCGAUAGAGAACAAGUACCGCAAGGGAAAGAUGAAAUAGCACUCUGUGAAGGGAGUCAAAAGGCGUGAAAUUGUUGCGAGAGAAGCGAUUCAAGUCAGCGUAGCUAGGCCCAUUAAGCCUCUUUGCGCUUUGGACUAGCUUUGCCAGCGGUCUUGUCCUUAGAGACUUGACUUGUAUGUCCAGCCUGGUAUGCACAGGUAGCCCUCCGGGGUCAGUGACAUGGCUGGUGGAAUGGCUUGCAAUCGACCCGUCUUGAAACACGGACCAAGGAGUCUAACAUGUAUGCGAGUAUAAGGGUGGCAAACCCGUAUGCGCAAUGAAAGUGAUUUUCGGUGAUUGAGAAUGGCCUGAUGACCAGACAAGCAAUAUAUGUCCCUCGUACGGCCAUUGCCCAAGUUCCGUGGUAGAUCCCACGAACAUGGAGUUGGAGCAUACAUGCUAGGACCCGAAAGAUGGUGAACUAUGCCUGGACAAAGCGAAGCCAAAGGAAACUCUGGUGGAGGCUUGUAGCGAUUCUGACGUGCAAAUCGAUCGUCUGAUCUGGGUAUA
rnacentral:rRNA from 1 species